UGAGGAAUAUUGGUCAAUGGGCGAGAGCCUGAACCAGCCAAGUAGCGUGCAGGAAGACGGCCCUAUGGGUUGUAAACUGCUUUUAUCAGGGGAUAAAGUGAGGGACGUGUCCCUUAUUGCAGGUACCUGAUGAAUAAGGACCGGCUAAUUCCGUG
rnacentral:rRNA from 1 species